GUAGGGUUUAAACCUUAGAGAAGUCAGCUCCACACUGCCGUCCAGAAGAUGGAGGUAAUGCACCUGCAAGCUGGUCGCCAACCGCCAUUAAAACAAGAAGAAGAUUAAGACCGCGUUUUAGCAGUCUAACUUUGGCUUAAUCAAAAAGGUAGCAUUUUUGUUUCCUUUUUAGUUUUAUAUUUAUAGUAUAUGGUAUGCAUUUGGGGCAUAAAAUGAUUACUUUCCGGCCUCACACAAACGCAAUUUGGCGUCCACUUCAGUCCAAUGGCCGCUGCCAGUAGCUCGUUUACAGCGAGCAACGAUGAUGGGACGUUUCUCGUUACGACACAACUACUUUUGGCAGCUACAAUUAAAACCCAAUUCACCAUGGAGCUCGGAAGCACGCGUACAACGCCGUAUAUACGUUCCUCGCUCCACCUUUACUGCUUCUACCACCACAACAACCAGCACCCAGCCCGCGGUGCUGCCUGGCUGGAAGGUUCUUGUAUACAGCCCGGCUGUAGGGGAUGAAGCACAGGCCCAGUGGACAGUGGCAUGAUAGCAUGAUGUGAACCAGUACAAAACCAGUACCUCUAAAUGUGUUUUGAUCAGAUUUAUAUGAUUUUCUGCCAGUAUUGAGCAGCAACGGUGCGAGGUGAAAGUGGGAGAGGACUAGACAGCAGGGCCCACUAUUCUUGUCACUCCAGGAAUGGGGGAGACCAAGAGGGAAGGAUGGGAUUAAUGAAGGUCGCGGCCGGACCUGGAGCUGUCUGGAUUAUUCAUUCUUUAAAUGUCACUUUUUUUUUUUUUUUUUCACCAACAAGGAAACUAAAAUCCAGAUGGAGGACAGAGUCUGAACUACACGGUACUUAAAAACUGUGCGCGGGUGGAGGUGUUAUGUUGAAUUGUGUUGAGCAUUUUGAAUCCCUGUAAAUAAAUGAUAAUUGUUUUCUUCACAAUAGCAAAUAUUGUGUCAGUAAAAUAUUCAGACACUGCAUGGAUGCUUUAUAUGAGUUAAUGCUUCGAUUGGAUCUGAUCAUUCGUUUAUGAAAAACAAAACGUAUAUCUAAACUAUAGGACUAUUAUAAGCUAAUACAAGCCCUUUAGAUAUUAAGUUACCAGUAUCCGCCCCUAGAAGGUGCAAUAGACCCUUUCUGAAUAUCAGCGGGCCGUCUCCACACCAUUCUUUACCUUGUGUUUAGUUUUCAUGAUUGGAGCGAGCAACGGUGAUCGGACGUUUCUCGUUACGACACAACUACUUUUGGCAGCUACAGUUAAAACCCAAUUCACCAUGGAGCUCGGAAGCACGCGUACCACGCCGUAUAUACGUUCCUCGGUACGUUAACAACCAAGAAGCAUCUUUUCGUGCACCGCAGGGUAUUAUGGGACAUUCAUUUUAAAGUUUAAGUUCCUGAUUUCUCAAGUUUCGGAGUAGCUGUUUGUAAAUCAUAUCGAAUGAUACUUGGCCCCGUUUAGAUACAAAUAUACAAUAUGCGUAUAAUCAGCGGUGGUUUAUUUCCGGCACCGUCACCGAGGUUCAUAGGGCGUUUCAUGGGGUCGCGCCUCCGGGGCGGAAUUAUUCAUACUUACCUGGCAGGGGAGAUACCAUGGUCAGGAUGGUGGUUCUCCCAAGACGAGACUGGACCAUUGCACUGUCGGUUCCGUUGACUCUUGCGAACUCCCCAAAUGUGGGAGUCUCGACUGCACAAUGUUUGGUAGUGGGGGUCCUGCGUCCGCGCGGUCCCCUGAUAUGAUGUGAAUAUUA
rnacentral:lncRNA from 1 species